CAACAAGCAUCAUUUAUUGCAAAAUGAAUGAAUGAUUAAUGCUUAUGAACAAACGUAAUCAAAAACUGUAAAAUUAACGAACAAAUGUUAACUCAAUUUGAGCUGAGUUCGUGUAUGUCCGAUUCAAAUUACUUUCGGUAAUGACCGUUAGUAACCGUUUCAGGUUGUCUUCAUUACAGGUCGUGUUUACUCAAAUCGUGUUUGAAGUGUGUCCGUUCCUUUGUGUGCGGCCAAAUUCCUCCAUAAAGCAUGUAAAUGUGCAAAUUACGUAAGUACAGCAGCCCGAGGGGGCUAUAAAGCAGCGCGUUUGAAAAUGUCCCCCGCAAUUGUCUUGUACUCGUUGAUUUACGAUUCGAUCUUGUCUCGCAAAAGAAAAGCGUGGGAAGCCGCACAAGCUUGAAUUAAAAUCAUCAAGUCGGGGCCGGGAGGGUUGAACGAUCAUCAUAUCGUGGCUAACGUGGCCCUGAAGACCGCCUCAGAUUACAAAGUAAGGUGUGCCCGGACUGGAUAAGAACAGUACCGUCCAAAACAAACCAGUUGAAUUACGCUUUAUCGUGGCUUAAUUAUACACACACGAAAAAAAAUUGUUACGUGAGCGGGGGCGCGGGGUGAAGAUUCACCUUGACGCAAGUUCAAGAGCCCAUUCAGAUUUAGGCACUCCCACAACGAGGCCCCAUGAAUAAUGGUGUAGUAACAACGGCUCCGAAUUGAGAGAUUAAAAAAAACUAGUUUGGCACAGUUCCGACCGUUAUGGGCAAAUUCAAAGUUUUUUUCCUGUUUUUAUUGGCACGGAAUUUCGACGGGAUGGCCUUGGCAGGUAAAACUUUGUGGCAGGUGCAAAAGAUCAGUCUUGUUUGACGGAAGAAUAACACUGAAAAGUGCCAAGUCAUUUUUAAAACAAAAGGAAUUAAUGCACUUUUUUAAGACGCGGAAUAAUGGAUUAAGCUGUUACCCAAUUAUGGAUAAAACUUCAACAAUGUAUUCCUGUAAUAUAAGACCGUUGUCGGCAAGCGCACAUGGUGUACACAAACAAACACAAACAAGAAAACAAACACAGUAGAGGUGGAUACAAUUUAUUAUUGUUUGAAAAUAAGAUAAGCUCCGAAUUAAACAAAAUAAUUUGUUAA